rnacentral:sRNA from 1 species
GGUGGCCCUGGUGUGGGGGCAGCCUCCCCCUUCCCUUUGAGCAGUGGCCUUCCCUCUGCAGCCAUCCAGUCUCUGCUGCCUUGAUCUUGUCCCAGCUGGCGAUGGAUGGUGCCCACUUGAGACCCAGCCACUGAGCACCAAGGUUGGGGGCGGCUCAGCCUUGGCCCCCCACCACGCUCUGCAGAAACAGGCCUUGGAACUGGUUUCUGAAAAGUCACUUCUGGUCCAGAACCUUCUCCUCUAACUGGGCGCCUUCUUUUUCAACACGUCCAUCUGUCUACAAAUUAGUCUGAAAGAAAACAGACACUGGAGAAAGACUGAGGAGGAGAGGAAACCAAGUCUAGAAAGGAAGAAAGAGCAGACCAAAAGGCCGGGGCUGUCGUCUCACCGGAAACGGAGCCAGCCCAAGAA